rnacentral:rRNA from 1 species
UACGGGGGGGGCAAGCGUUGUUCGGAAUUACUGGGCGUAAAGGGCUCGUAGGUGGCCAACUAAGUCAGACGUGAAAUCCCUCGGCUUAACCGGGGAACUGCGUCUGAUACUGGAUGGCUUGAGUUCGGGAGAGGGAUGCGGAAUUCCAGGUGUAGCGGUGAAAUGCGUAGAUAUCUGGAGGAACAUCGGUGGCGAAGGCGGCAUCCUGGACCGGUAUUGACGCUGAGGCGCGAAAGCCAGGGGAGCAAACGGG